AGUUGGAUUACAAAAGUAUUUCGAAGUGUUUUGUGAAAGUUUAUCGUCGACUUUUUUAAUUUAAAAAAAUGACCUAGCGUUUUGAAACUGUCUUUUUUUCUGAAUCACACAGUUUCCAUAGAUGGAUAUUUUGGGUAUACAUGGACCGAUUUAAUCGAAAAAAAGACCCAAUAGUGAUGUUAUGGGACAUAUAGGAGUGCCAACAAAGAAGCUCGUCCAAGGUUUCCUGUCCUGCCAAUGACCCACUGCCAUUCAAAACACCAGGACAUAUCCACGUCUCCAGUUGACUAGAGAGAGGGAGAGAGAGAGAGAGAGAGAGAGAAUGUAAAUAAUGGGCAGGU
ensembl:lncRNA